GAUGAACGCUGGCGGCGUGCCUAAUACAUGCAAGUCGAGCGAACAGACGAGGAGCUUGCUCCUCUGACGUUAGCGGCGGACGGGUGAGUAACACGUGGAUCACCUACCUAUAAGACUGGGAUAACUUCGGGAAACCGGAGCUAAUACCGGAUAAUAUCUUGAACCGCAUGGUUCAAUAGUGAAAGACGGUUUUGCUGUCACUUAUAGAUGGAUCCGCGCCGCAUUAGCUAGUUGGUAAGGUAACGGCUUACCAAGGCAACGAUGCGUAGCCGACCUGAGAGGGUGAUCGGCCACACUGGAACUGAGACACGGUCCAGACUCCUACGGGAGGCAGCAGUAGGGAAUCUUCCGCAAUGGGCGAAAGCCUGACGGAGCAACGCCGCGUGAGUGAUGAAGGUCUUCGGAUCGUAAAACUCUGUUAUUAGGGAAGAACAAAUGUGUAAGUAACUAUGCACGUCUUGACGGUACCUAAUCAGAAAGCCACGGCUAACUACGUG
rnacentral:rRNA from 1 species